rnacentral:rRNA from 1 species
UACAGAGGUCUCAACCGUUGUUCGGAUUCAUUGGGCGUAAAGGGUGCGUAGGCGGUCGGGUAAGUCGGAUGUGAAAUCUCAGGGCUCAACCCUGAAACUGCAUUCGAUACUGCCUGGCUAGGGUACUGGAGAGGAGACUGGAAUUUACGGUGUAGCAGUGAAAUGCGCAGAUAUCGUAAGGAAGACCAGUGGCGAAGGCGAGUCUCUGGACCGGUACUGACGCUGAUGCGCGAAAGCGUGGGGAGCAAACGGG